UUAAAAGUGAAGUCAUAGUAUUCUGUCUGUCGUGAUUAUAUUUAUGUUCUUUUAAUCUGAGCUCUACAAAAAAACUUCGUGUAGCAUUACGUCGACGAAAACUAGGAUACCUCCGGUACCUAUGGAAUACCUACUAUUGAAGGCCAGAGAACCAUCGAGUUCCUACCAUUGGAACUAUUAUGAACCUCCUUAAUUAACGAUGAAAUGCAGGCCUUUCCUCGCACUUAUCAAUAACGUGAUGGUCCACCAGAUGGGAAUUAAGUACAAUCAUGCCAGACUGAAGUCUUUGCGC